GGACCCGUAGCUCAGCGGUAGAGCAUCUGAUUCCAGCUUCCUUCUCUCAUAAGAGGAUUUGGAUUUCCAAUCAGCAUCCAGAAGGUCAUCCGUUCAAAUCGGGUCGGGUUCA